rnacentral:lncRNA from 1 species
AUGCUUGGCCACAGGCUGGAAAGAGCAGAAGCAGCUCUGGAGUUUCUUUUCCUUGCCCACAUGUGUGUGGUUGCCUCUCCUUGUUGUGCCUCACAGGCACUCUGCUGGGACAUCCUGAGUGUCUGGAUUAUGGGCCGCCUUUCCAGCCCCCUUUGCCCUUGGAGUUCUGCUCUGCCUAUGAAAACUUUGUCUGCUAUGACCAGGAGAGAGACAACAGCAUUGCAGCAAAAUACUGGGACAUCAUGGAUUACAUGGAUCCCCAGGGGCAUAAACUGUGUGGAACAUACAUCAAAGAUAUCCUGUGUCAGGUUGCUGGUCCAGGAGCUGGACUCUGUUCACACUUAUUUGAGAGAAAUUAAAAGAAGUUUUAAAGGUGUUAAUGAAGUAAUCACUUCAGAAGAGGACUGAGAGUACAAAAAGACAAGGACACUCACCUGAAGCUUUGACUUUUGGGGGUGGCACUCAGGGCCUGGUGGUGCCCUUCCUCAUUCUGGGAAGACUUUAAACAUGGGAACAAUGGUGUGGUUCUGCCAGCUGGCACUGGGCUCAGACAGUAAGGACAGGCCUGGGGAACUUGGCUCCCCUUUGCAAGGUUGGAGACUUUUGAUUUGGGAAGAGGGAGAGGUUCCUUACAGAUGUGAUGUGGAAGCACAGAAACCAGGUUGUUCUGUGCUGCUUUCUGGUAACCAAAUGGCAGCAAUGAAAAGUGAGAAACUUCCUACACCAUCCAAAAGUAUGGCCAAAAGUCCCUGUGUGUUGCUGUGAGCAAAGAGAACAACUUGCUUGGAAGUUUGGAAUCAGGGUCUGUAGUCUUCACAUUAAAUAUCCUGGGAAGGCUGCUACUUGCACCAAAAAAAAAAUUUCAAUCCUUGUAUAACUGCCCAGAUUUUUAAAAUUAAUUCUGUUUAAUGAAGCGAGCUUGUUUAAUGAGGCAGAAAAGUUACUAAUGUAGUAGUUCUUUCCUGGGCUGUGUAUGUACUUAUCUUCCUCCAUCUGUGCCCAAUAAAGAUCUGGAUAGAUUGUUCUGGGCUGCUGGCAUGAAAACCAGUAAAAUAACAUUUCUGUAGAAUGUAGCUUCUUCUUUAACUUCUGCAACCUUGUGCUGAUUAAAACACAAGUGGGAUUUGAAUGGCAACAUUUUAUGGAAGUUCUGGCCCAGAAUGUUUGCAAGAUGAGGAGUUUAAAUUUUAGACACAAAUUCAAACAUAGUGCUUGAUUUUCAAAAUUUACCCUACAUUUUACAUAGAUAAACACACUUAAAGGUAUUUGAAGGAACAUAAUUUUAGAUCUGUAUCACUUGAAAAUGUUGCCUGCAGUAUUUUUUUCGUGAUGGUCACAGGAAUUGCAUGAGAUUGUAUUUACUUAUUUGAAUCAGUUUUAAAUCUUGCCUGCAGUCUGCUUCAGUAAUACUGUGCAUGUAUCAGAUUAAUUUAGCCUGUAUAUUAAUCAGUGUACAUCUUUAGCACCUACAGUUUCUUCUGGCAGUUUCACCUGCUUUUUUUAACCUGGCUCCUAUUACCUUCAUCUACUCCUUCAUUUUUCUUCUGGGGAAAGUAAGCCCUAUCCAUCUUCUCAAUGUCACUUGGGAUAUUUACAGAGCUCUGUCAGGUUUUUUCCCUGCUUUGAUCACCUCCUCCAAGACUGCUCUGUUCCACCUUACACCUUACUAAGCCUCCACACUUGUACUUCUGUUGGGAAGAAUUUUGGUGCAGCUGACUGUGCUUUGAUAAAGGAAACUGCUACUGACCUCUAAGUCCAUUUUGGCCACAUUCUGAGUGACUUUCUACUGCUCCAUUUCAUAGGGGGCUCUUUAUGUUCUCUGUGUUGCUAAUUUUUCAUUUUAUUAACCAGUUUGCUCCCCUGAAGGUGUCUCAGCUUCUCCUGGAUGAGUGUCCACAGCCACAUCUUUAGUUUCCUUUACUUUCUGGGAAUGCUCUCCAUAUGCUGCACAUCUCUGUGAUGCAGAAAACCCUUGGACCCCUCUAAGAAGCCUGCCAGGACUUUGUUUUGACUACUGCUCUGAGCUUCACCUCAGCUGCUACUCUGCCAUCCGCCUGCUGACCGGUGACAAGCAUAUCCAGGAGUGCUGCGAGACGAACAGGAGCCGCUUCUGCCACCUCCUGCAGCUCCAGGAUGAGGAUUACUGCUUCCCCCAGGUGCUGCAGAACUCGGCCCUGAGCCGCAGCUUGGGCUCGGCGCUGGAGGAGCGUGGGGGCUGUGUCCAGCUGCGCCUGGCCGAGGUUGCCAAUGGCCUGAGGAACCCGGUGCUGAUGGCCCACGCCACUGACCAGACCCACAGUGCCUUUGUACCCAGGCCUUGUCUGGGCCUUGUCUGGGUCUACUACUGGAUGGCAGCCAGCUGGAGGAGCCAUUCCUGGAUAUUCAGAGGAUAGUGCAGGCUACCCCAUGGCUGGGGGAUGAGAAGGGCUUCCUGGGGAUGGCUUUCCACCCCAAGCAUAAGGACAACAGGAAGUUUUAUAUCUAUUACUCAUGUAGAUAAGAACUGAGUGGAAAAGAUCAGGAUCAGUGAAUUGAAGGCUUUGGUAUCUGAUCCAACAAAGCUGAUCCAUGUUCUGAAAGGUAAAGUUCAUGUGGAAUGCUACUCUAUGCCAUGAUAAGAAAUCAUUUUCCUCUGUCCCCAUCCAACCCCCAAUAUCAGCACAGGCUGGGGAUUGAGAGCAGCCCUGCCAAGAGGGACUUGGGGAUGCUGGUGGGUGAGAGGCUGGACAUGAUCCAGCAGUGUGAGCUUUCAGCUGAGAAAGCCAAACCUGGGCUGUCCUGCGCUGUAUCCGAAGCAGUGUGGCCAGCAGGUCAAGGGAAAGGAUUCUGCCCCUCUACUCCAACUUCAGGAGAUCCCACCUGCAGUGCUGCAUCCAUCUCUGAGGUCCCCAGCACAGGAAGGACAUGGACCUGUUGGAGUGAGCCCAGGGGAGGCCACCAAGAUGAUUAGGGGCAUGGAGCACCUCUCCUAUGAGGAAAGGCUGAGAAAAUUGGGAGUGUUCAGCCUAGGAAAGAGAAGGCUUUGGGGUGACCUAAUUGCAGCCUUCCAGGAAGCCUUCCCUUCCUGAAGGGACCCUACAAGAAUGAUGGACAGGGACCAUUUGCAAGGGGUCUUGUAGUCCUUUGUAGUGACAGGACAAGGGGGAAUGGUUUAGAUUAGAGAUUAUGAAGAGGGUGAUGAAGCCCUGGAACAGGUUGCCCAGAGAAGCUGUGGAUGCCCCAUGCCUGGAUGUGUUCAAGGCCAGGAUGAAUGGAGCUCUGAGCAACCUGGUGUAGUCGAAGGUGUCCCUGCCCAUGGCAGGGGGUUGGAACUGGAUGAUGUUUAAGGUCCCUUUCCAGCCCAAACCAGUCUAUGAUCCUAUGAUUCUUUCCAUUUGCAGAACCUGCACAUUCCCAGUCACCCUGGUUCAGGUGUGUGACUGGCCUGCUAUGAAACUAUCAGCGUCAGGUUGGCUCAAGGUCACACAGCAAACCAAAGUGGAUUGAAAAGACUCAGGAACUAAGCUUCCAAAUUGUCUUCUCUCCCUAUCUUGUACUCUUGUCUUCUACAGAGCAGUAACAGCCCUAAGUCCAUUACGGAAUUAACAUCUGCCCUAAGAGGUUUGUGCUGUUGGAGAGGACAUUUCACUACAAUACUAUACUCAUUUUAUCUGUCAUGUGUGUACCUGCCCUGUCCCCUGCUAAGAAAAAAACUAAUCCCUUCCCUUCCCUUCCCUUCCCUUCCCUUCCCUUCCCUUCCCUUCCCUUCCCUUCCCUUCCCU